UACAGAGGGUGCAAGCGUUGUUCGGAAUUAUUGGGCGUAAAGCGCGUGUAGGCGGCCAGGCAAGUUGGGUGUGAAAGCCCUCGGCUUAACCGAGGAAGUGCGCCCAAAACUACUUGGCUUGAGUACCGGAGAGGAUGGUGGAAUUCCCGGUGUAGAGGUGAAAUUCGUAGAUAUCGGGAGGAACACCAGCGGCGAAGGCGACCAUCUGGACGGAUACUGACACUGAGACACGAAAGCCAGGGGAGCGAACGGG
rnacentral:rRNA from 1 species